rnacentral:rRNA from 1 species
UACGUAGGGUGCGAGCGUUGUCCGGAAUUAUUGGGCGUAAAGAGCUCGUAGGCGGUUUGUCGCGUCGGCCGUGAAAUCUCCACGCUUAACGUGGAGCGUGCGGUCGAUACGGGCAGACUGGAGUUCGGUAGGGGAGACUGGAAUUCCUGGUGUAGCGGUGAAAUGCGCAGAUAUCAGGAGGAACACCGGUGGCGAAGGCGGGUCUCUGGGCCGAUACUGACGCUGAGGAGCGAAAGCGUGGGGAGCGAACAGG